CCUAGGAGGUGCAGCAGUGGGGAAUAUUGGACAAUGGGCGAAAGCCUGAUCCAGCCAUGCCGCGUGUGUGAAGAAGGCCUUCGGGUUGUAAAGCACUUUCAGUGGGGAAGAAAGCCUUGGGGCUAAUACCCUCGAGGAAGGACAUCACCCACAGAAGAAGCACCGGCUAACUCCGUGCCAGCAGCCGCGGUAAUACGGAGGGUGCGAGCGUUAAUCGGAAUUACUGGGCGUAAAGCGCGCGUAGGCGGUCUGAUAAGCCGGUUGUGAAAGCCCCGGGCUCAACCUGGGAACGGCAUCCGGAACUGUCAGGCUAGAGUGCAGGAGAGGAAGGUAGAAUUCCCGGUGUAGCGGUGAAAUGCGUAGAGAUCGGGAGGAAUACCAGUGGCGAAGGCGGCCUUCUGGACUGACACUGACGCUGAGGUGCGAAAGUGUGGGUAGCAAACAGGAUUAGAUACCCUGGUAGUC
rnacentral:rRNA from 1 species